GGCUGGGGACGACCCCAAUUAAGCCCUGAGAGUGUUGCUGGGACGACCCAG
rnacentral:ncRNA from 1 species